rnacentral:lncRNA from 1 species
UGAAGUUUCAUAUACCCUCAUUCCCACCAUGGCAUUUUUCGAAUUCUUGCCUGUGAAACAGAGCGACAUAGUUGGUGAUACAAGUCCUUACCCAGGGGCAAGAUCUCCCCUCAACGAGAAAGAACGGGAAGAACUGGUCGAUCUCAUUGACGUUAAGCUUGGAGAAGAAUACGAGCUUGUGGUGACUACCUAUGCUGGUAAGUAAUAAUGCAGGAAGGAGAAUACAAUAACUUCACCUGAUUGAUUGUUCUUUAUCAGAUAUUUGUGUUGUUACCACGAUAAUCGUGUGAAAUUUGCAGGGCUGUACAGAUAUAAAGUGGGAGACAUCCUACAAGUCGCUGGAUUCAAGAACAAGGCUCCCCAUUUCCACUUCAUUGGGCGAAAAAAUGUUGCUCUGAGCAUAGAAGCUGACAAAACCGAUGAAGCUGAGCUGAAAAGAGCAGUAGAGAAAGCCGUAAUCAACCAUUUGAGGCCACUUAACGCUAGUUUAGUUGAUUACACUGCCUAUGCAGACAAAAGCACAGUUCCAGGACAUUAUGUUAUAUUCUGGGAAUAUAUCGUGCAUAACGAGGGAUCAAAAAGUACAAACCAAGUGAUUCCACCAUCUGUUUUCGAGGAUUGUUGUCUUACCAUGGAAGAGUCACUCGACAGUGUGUACCGACAAGGUCGUGUAGCUGAUAAAUCCAUCGGUCCUCUUGAGAUCAGGAUAGUAGAA